GAGAUGUCCGUUAGUCGGAUACGAGCGCACCUUACCUUAUUUGCCAGCGAGUUAAGUCGGGAACUAUAAGGGGACUGCCGAUGAUAAACCGGAGGAAGGUGAGGACGACGUCAAGUCAUCAUGGCCCUUACGAGUAGGGCUACACACGUGAUACAAUGGAGAAAACAGACGGACGCUAAGCCGCGAGGUGGUGCUAAUCCUAUAAAGUUCUUCGUAGUCCGGAUUGGAGUCUGCAACUCGACUCCAUGAAGUUGGAAUUGCUAGUAAUCGCGGAUCAGCAUGCCGCGGUGAAUACGUUCUCGGGUCUUGUACACACCGCCCGUCACACCAUGGGAGUUGGUUCUACCUUAAGGCAAGGUUUUAAACCCUUGACCACGGUAUAGUCAGCGACUGGGGUGAAGUCGUAACAAGGUAGCCGUAGGGGAACCUGCGGCUGGAUUACCUCCUUUCU
rnacentral:rRNA from 1 species